GCUGACAUCACAAUAGCAGCCGCCCUAGGCUGGAUUGUGAAUUCAUGCAUAGAACCAGACAUGCUCUACACCUAAUGCAAAAAAAAGCCUGCAAAGUUCUCCUCUGCUACAAAGCAACACAAAAAGCCCUCCUAGUCCAUCACCUGUUGCUCAAGGCAUGUAAGAGUAGAAACACAGUGAGCCCCUAGAGCCCACACUGAGAAGCUGAGCACUGAGAAGGGACCAGGAUGUGAGGAACCACAUUAGUGGUCUUUGGCCACUAUUUCUGCUGAGCAAAAAUCAGAAGGCUUGUUCCUUUGUGGUAGAAAUCAGAAAACAAGGAGAAGAAGCACUGCUUUAAUUACAUUUAGAGGUUUCUCCUAGGGAGGCCUUGGGACCAGAGCACCACCACCAUUUUUUCCCCCAUUUUUCUCCUUCCACAAUAUUGCUCAGGAGGCGGGGCUGAAAUGGGUGGCACGGAAGCGGCAGCUCUGACACACAGCUGAAACCAUCAGGGCCAGGGUGGCAUGUGGGACUGUUUUUCCACCGCAACAGAACAAGGCAAGCCAGAGUGGUGACACUGAUCCCAAGUGAGUCCAGCCAAGCCAAGUGGAGCCCAGCAGGGUGGUAGGAAGAGGCAGCAAAGUGGCAGAUCCCAUUCCCACACACAUGCCCAGUGUGGAAGACUGAUGGCAGUGGCAAUGCCAAACAGAGCUCUGCAGGGACAGAGAGACACCCAUCACCAUUGCCACUGCCACCAUCCCUGCUGCAGAGAGGGAGCAGGAAACUGCCACUGCACAGCUGCUCCAGGCAGCACCAGCAGCCCCCAUCUACCAUCAGAACCAUUCUGAGAGAGAGGAGAGGCUUUACAAGGACUACCUCAAGAAGAGGACAUAGAAUGGAGGGAAGGCCUUAGAAAGAAUAAACAACCCUCAUGCUGCUGCUUUUGGAAGGAAUAAAUGUCCAAGUUACUUAAUAUCCAGACACAAAUCUGUGGAGUCUUGACAGCCAAGAAGCACAGGAACCUGGACACCUUGUUGUGAGAGACUAGAGGAGAUUGCUGGCUCAACACUUUUCAGGGGCUUGUAUGUGGGGAAGGGGGCAGAUCAAGCCUUGCUCUGGUGAGGGGAUGCCCCACUCGGCACGCCCCACACCCCCAGGCCUGUAUCCCAGCCCAGCAGCGGCCGCUGAUCCCUGGCACACCAGAGGCAAUGCUCCACACCUGUGUCUGGAGCCCCUAACCCAGCUCCUAAAUGGCCAGGAAAGUAAUGGACUUGCACCCAGAAACUGAUCUGAACUGCUCUCCACUGACACACUUGCUAAAAGCUCAUAUAGAAAACUUGUCCAGCCCUAAAGAGAGAUGGGGACGGAGAGAAACUAGCACCAUCCACAGUUUCUUCUGGAGAAAACAUGAACUUUGUUAGAAGAAAAUUAAAAACUCCCAGUAAAGGACCAUGCCUGGUAUCCAUAUGCAUGGAGGUUUGACUCAGAGCUGUAUGGUGCCCAUCAGCUGGAAAAGGAGCUGCAUCAGCUGCAAAUUGCUGAGCCUGAAACAAUAGCCAGCCUCAGGCCAGAGUAGGAAUUGAAUGCCAGGAUGAAGCCAGCCCCCAAACCAUGAGAAACCAGUGAAACACGCUCCUCCAAAGCCAAAGAGCUUUAGAGUUGCAAUUUAACACUGCUGGGGAAGGCCUGGAAGCAGUGUUUUCCAGACUCCAGGAACAGCCAGACCUCCCUGACUGCAAGGUCAGCCCCACAGCCCUUGGGAGGGCUUUAGUGCCUCAAAGUCCAACCCUGCCCCUCACCCUAAACUCUGCCAGCCCCUAUAAAAUACAGAGGCAGGAUGCCCCGAAGAUGAUGUCACCUUCCUCUGCUCCCUGGAGGAGAGGUUCGGCUCUGCAAAGCCAAUCUUCUUCCCUCCUCAUCCCAAGCCCUGCUCACUGAUAAAGAAGGAAUUUGCUUAUCAGGAUGUAGUGUCUGGCAGUAAUACCUCAUUCUGCAACAGAAGUGGUUGAACUACACAGGAAAAUAAGCAAUGAUCGCAAAGAAAGGGAAAUGGAGAAUGUUUUGCGAAUUGGAUUUGGGGGAAUGAAAUAGAACUUUUGGAGAAGGAAGCACAUGGUGAAAAUCCCUGGUCUUUUGCCUGGGGAACAACCUGUGAUGUGACAAGUUUGGACCCCUUGCAGGGGAGAGAACCCCAAGCAACGCAUGAGAAACAGCUGAUGCCUGUUGACCUUCUUCUGUGUUAUUGUAAGUUAUUUCAACAUUUAGGGAUCAAACUCAGAAAACAAGAUCUCAGCACCACCUCCAAAAAGUUAUGGUUGUUGGGAGAGGGUGGUGGAUUGAAAUAUCUGCUCUCUGGAGGCUCUCUGGAAAGAAAAUGGGGAUUAAAUGGGGAUUCGGUUUCCCUGGAUUCUUAAUGAAGCUUUGCAAACUGCUCCUGCCCUGCCUCCUUCUGGCAGCCCUGGCUAUUGAGCCUUCUCUGCCACCAAAGGCUGGAAGCCGAAAUGCUGCUGCUAGAGCAUAACCCUUAGGAGAAAAUGCUUUUAUCAUCGUGCAAGUUUGUUGUUUUGGUCUCACUAAUAAGCCUGAAUGUUCAAGAAUAUCCUCACUAGUCAGGAGACUGGGUGUACAUCCAGACCCGGAAAGGAGAGCCACUUAACCAGAAGUGGAAAGGACUUUUGAUCCCAUGGCUGUGAGAUUUACAGCUGGACACUCCUAAAUUAUGUGAUUAAAGUUAGCUCUGGACACAUGGAAUUGUAUUGGACAGUCCAGUAAAUGUAACUCUGCUGCAAAUAAAGCUGCAAUGGAACAUUUCUAAAGUGAAAAACAUUAAAUGGUUUCUCUUUCUGCCCAUUUCCAGAGCAGUGUCCCUGGUAUGGCAGCAUGGCUGUUUGUUCCUGAAUUAGUCAACCAUCCUAGCAGGACCGUGUACCUAAUGACUACAAUAGCAAGUAUGGCUUUGAGUGCCAGAGGGGUAAGAGACCAAGAAAGAAAAGAGAGCUAUGUCUGUAGGAGUGUGCACCCUAAUGGCAGAGUGGCAAAACUAGCCUUUGUCCCCCAGAAAAGGAAAGGAGGCCAGAAGUUUCUCUCAAUGAUUAGGUGAAAAGCCACCUCAUGGGACCUCAGGGACUUCACCAAAUACUUGAGGACAUCUAAUUGGAUAGAAGCCAAAAAGUCCCACUUGAUCCAUCAGGGAGAAAAAGAAGAGAAGAGCUAAGUGCUUUUGUGAGGUGUUUUUACCAGGAGCGGACUGCUGCACCUGGCUCGAGUUUUUCUCUUUGUUAUUAUACCUUUUAUUAAACCUUUUUGUUUCUAACACUGCAGCAGAAGUCAUCCUGCUUAUUUUAUGCCCCCAAAGUAAUAGAUAAGCUGUCCUUGGGUGUAUUAUAUUUCUUUUGAGGGCUUAUGAGACCAGGCUAAGAAAAAGAAACAUAAUAGAGCAGAGCUGGGCAGCAGCUGGGGGUACUACAGUGCACUCACAGCCACCUGCCAACGCAGCUGGCCAAAAUUAAAACAAGCACAACCAAAAACCCAAACACUACAGGUGCUUGGCCUAAUAGCCUGGUUACUAAUAACGUAAGAAAACAACUAUUAAAGAUGACACCUGGGACACCAGCUGGCCAGAGCCAAUUCCCAGCUAUCCCAUAACUUGCCUUUCUGUGCAAACACAGAGGUUUCAGUUGCCCACCUUUCAGAGAGAGGAGCCUGCCAGACCAGGCUGAACAUUCAGCAAUGUCUACUUGAAUGAUCUCAAGCUUUCAGUCCAGAAGCCCAAGCUUAUGAAGUGUGAUUCUUCUUUUAAUUUCCUAGAUUCAGAACUGAUUAUUCAGCUCUACGCAUGAGGCAGUUCUCCAGAUCUAUUGAGGACAUGGAAUGGUUUGGAAAGCAAACUAAGGAACAAGGCACAGACCCAAAUUUUAUAGGACCAGGGAGAAAAUGCUAAGAGCAAAAAGGGCAAUUGUGUUUUUAUUCCAUUGUUCCUAGCUAUAUCUUGCAAUUGCUGUGGGGUAGUUAAGAGUUUAUUCAGGUUGACAACUUGAGUCAAAAGUUUAUUUCAUUCCUGAAGCUGCAGACUUGAAAUGCUUCAAGUUCUUACAUCCCAGGGGAAUCCUGUAUGCAAAAUACUUGAAAACACAUUUUUUAUCAGAAAGAAAAAGAGAUUUAAGCAUUGUUGCAAGUGUUUUAUAUAUUAAUAGAAAUCUCAAACUACUAGGUUAAUUCCUGAGACUAUUUUUAUCUUUUGCUCUUGUGCUUAUUGUUGUCUUAUUCCAUAUUCUCUUACUGCUUGUAACCCACACUAAUUCUAUCUCACUGCAUGCAAUAAUAAAGCAAAGAAUUACCUAAGGGAUGAGAAGAACACAUUCCUCACUAUCUUGCAUAAGGAUGAAAACGGAACAUUUCAGGGACUUCAACAACUCAUUUCUCUGAAUAGGACCAAAGAAAUAAAAGGCAGCCAGCUUUAACCACUCCACAAAUUCUAGCAGAAGUAAGAAGCUCACAAAGGGCACUAAGGCAGGGAGACAUGUGGACACAUGCACACCAUCACCUCAUCUGACAAAAAUGAACCUGUUUCACAGCACCAGGCAGUUCAUGGAGCCAAACUCCUUCCCCAGCCCCAUGGGAAAGCAGUGUCAAGGCGCAGGAACUGGGAAGUGUCCCAGGGGGCAGAGAUAAUGCUGGCAGCAUUUGAGCCUGCAGCACUGGCUCAGACACACUGAAGUUCAGCUGUUGCUGUGCAGCAGUUUCUUCACACUGCUAAGUUUCAUGGGGCUGGCUGUAUUUUUCACAACAGCCACUUCAGUACAGGACUGGUGUAGUGAAAAGUUCUGGAAUUCUGUUUCCUCUCUUGUAAAUUCCUAUUUCUCUUCUUCUUUAGGACACCCACAACUUGAGACACCUCAGGAGGCAACACUGAAUUGCAAGCAGUUCCCAAAGCAAGAUUGUAAAAUAUGCUCUAUGUUUAGAUUAUGUACUAUGGGGAUUUCAAAACUCUCUAUUUCCAAAAACUGUUAUUUUUCCGGUUAAGAAUGCCUGUCAAUUAAAAAGCUUAAACUCGGCCAGUUUUAACUGCAGAGGAGAAUACUCUCUGUCCCAGACUACCAUCCAAACACACCUUUGCUUGGAUGCAGCUCUUGGACCUUUUAGGUAGCUUGACUACAGAACUCAAACAUCCAAGAACAGGGGUACAAAUACAAACCCUUAUGUAAACGUCUGGAAGCAGCUAGGAAGUUGCUGGGUUGUUCUCAUUCUGUAGGAAGAAUUAACACAGCAGUAAUAGAAAUCACCUUUCUCCAGAAGCAGCUCUCACAGCUAGCACACUCAAGACUGCAGCACAAGCAGUUCCUAGGUGUGGAAUCUAGUUGUUACGUGCCACCAAUAGCAUGUGGAACUGCUGCAGGAAAACACCACAGACACUUUUUCUUCUCUUUUUCUUUCAGUUCCGAAGAGAGUCAUAAAACCUGGCUGGCUGCCUGGGUAGCUAUGUUAACACUAAAAACAUGGACCAGCAGAAAUUGCAAUCACACCACUACAAUCUUCCACAGAGGAGGGCAAUCCUACAGAUCAGAGUAUGGUCAAAUUUGCCCCGAAUUCUCAUUGUGUCCAUCUACUCUGGAUCCCCUUACUUGGCAUUUUUGUUUCUCAGCCCUCACAGAACUGACAGCUGAGAAAAAGAGAAAAAAACAUGAACAGUCCUUGGGUAAGUGCAAUACUGGACUGUCAGGAAAUAAAAAUAGUUGAUAGCAUCUGUAUCAGGCAUUGUUUUUUUACUCUCUACCAGUGUCCAUUUCAGGUAUCCUGAUAGCAUGAUUUAGGAUUUUGCAGCUAAAUACAAUGGGCUGCAAUUUGAGAGGCCUACAAAAAAUAAAACCUUAUCAGACUUGGUUUUCCCCCAAAUGACAGUUGCAAAUUAGAAAAUGAAAGGGUCUAGAAAUAAUUUUAGAAAAAUAUAGUAUUUGCAUCAAAUUCCAAGGGGAUAGAGAUAUUGGAGCAGCAAGGAAAUGCUCCCAGAAAUGUUUGUCUAGCCUGAAGAGACCAGCUAGCCACAGGAACAGGAGAGAGCCACUUCUUUUUAAAAUGUGCACAUUACUGAAUGCAAGAUCCAUUGGCCCUUUCAGCUUCUGUUUGCAACAAAAAGGAAGAUAUUAACUUGUGUUUAUGAAGACUAUAAUUGGACUUCAAUGUUUUUGAGACACUCUCUGAGCAAAACACAAAGAAACUACAUUCCAUGUUAGUAAAUGCAGCAUUUAGAGUAGCAACUAAAUAGUCCUAUCUCAGAGUUAAAUGUUCAGUUCUUCAUAAAUGCAGUACCUAAACCAGUUAACUCCCACCUACACCCCAGACAUCCACCUAUACCUGCUUGUGUAAAUAGUAUUUUCCACUCCACUCCACUCCCUAUUCCUUCUCUCAGCACAGUCCUCAAGCCCUCAACCAGGCACAAGCCAACUUCUCAAUUACCAAGCAGCUGUUGGCAAUUACCUGAGCACCUGCCCCACCCACAGCAGCUGUGCAGGUCUGCAGACCCCACCCACCACCACAGAAAAAAAAAAAAAAAAAAAAAAAAAAAAAAAAAAAAAAAAAAAAAA